GACGAACGCUGGCGGCGUGCUUAACACAUGCAAGUCGAACGGAAAGGCCCUGCUUUUGUGGGGUGCUCGAGUGGCGAAAGGGUGAGUAACACGUGAGUAACCUGCCCUUGACUUUGGGAUAACUUCAGGAAACUGGGGCUAAUACCGGAUAGGAGCUCCUGCUGCAUGGUGGGGGUUGGAAAGUUUCGGCGGUUGGGGAUGGACUCGCGGCUUAUCAGCUUGUUGGUGGGGUAGUGGCUUACCAAGGCUUUGACGGGUAGCCGGCCUGAGAGGGUGACCGGCCAAAUUGGGACUGAGAUACGGCCCAGACUCCUACGGGAGGCAGCAGUGGGGAAUAUUGCACAAUGGGCGGAAGCCUGAUGCAGCAACGCCGCGUGCGGGAUGACGGCCUUCGGGUUGUAAACCGCUUUCGCCUGUGACGAAGCGUGAGUGACGGUAAUGGGUAAAGAAGCACCGGCUAACUACGUG
rnacentral:rRNA from 1 species